rnacentral:misc_RNA from 1 species
GAUGAAGAACGUAGCGAAAUGCGAUAAGUAAUGUGAAUUGCAGAAUUCAGUGAAUCAUCGAAUCUUUGAACGCACCUUGCGCCCUUUGGCUAUUCUGAAGGGCAUGCCUGUUUGAGUAUCAUGAACACCUCAACUCUCAUGGUUCGCCAUGAUGAGCUUGGACUUUGGGGGUCUUGCUGGCCUACGGUCGGCUCCUCUCAAAUGAAUCAGCUUGCCAGUGUUUGGUAGAGUCGCAGGUGUGAUAACUAUCUACGCUUGUGGUUUUCUGCCAGAUAACCUUCAGUGAUGGAGGUUCGCUGGAGCUUAUAAAUGUCUCUCCCCAGUGAGGACAGCUUUUUGAACGUUUGCUCUCAAAUCAGGUAGGACUACCCGCUGAACUUAAGCAUAUCAAUAAGCGGAGGA